UACAGAGGAGCCAAGCGUUGUCCGGAUUGACUGGGCGUAAAGCGCACGCAGGCGGCAUCGCGCGUGGGGUGUGAAAUCUGGCCGCUUAACGGCCAGGCGCCAUCCCAUACGGCGAGGCUGGAGCAAUGCAGAGGUCGGUGGAAUUGCCGGUGUAGUGGUGAAAUGCGUAGAUAUCGGGAGGAAUACCAGUGGCGAAGGCGGCUGCCUGGCCUGUUCUUGACGCUGAGGCGCGAAAGCUGGGGGAGCAAACGGG
rnacentral:rRNA from 1 species